GUCACCUUUGCAGAAAGAUGCUGAUACUACAGGCACCGAAGGAUCACACCUAGGAGAAGAGAAGAACAGUGUGUACCCUGCCUCUUGCCAUUGACUGCUGGAGAUAGGCACCAGCACCCCUCGCCAUCCCAACAAGGAUAAGGGUGUAGGAAAAUGGAUGGUAAUAAAUUAGUACAAAAAGUCAUUCAAGUUUGGGUAAUGUUCUGUCAAAACACCACCUCUUCCUGUCUGUGGAUGUGAGCACACCAUUCUAUAACAGUCUAAUCUUGAAUGGCAAGUUGGAUAAGUACAUCAGGAAGAUAAGUAGAAAAAUAUGGACGGUUUAUAGUUGUCACUACAAACUAUCCAUAUUUUAUAUAAAUAUGAUGACACCAAGUACUGUAAUAUAAAUAAAAAAAUAACUGUUCCUUUAACUUUGUUAAAA